rnacentral:rRNA from 1 species
UACGUAGGCAGCAAGCGUUGUUCGGAGUUACUGGGCGUAAAGAGUGCGUAGGCGGUGCUCUAAGUUUGGUGUGAAAUCUCCCGGCUCAACUGGGAGGGUGCGCCGAAAACUGGAGUGCUUGAGUGUGGGAGAGGCAAGCGGAAUUCCAGGUGUAGCGGUGAAAUGCGUAGAUAUCUGGAGGAACACCGGUGGCGAAGGCGGCGUUCUGGACUGCAACUGACACUGAGGAACGAAAGCCAGGGGAGCAAACGGG